GCAAGAACAAGGCUCAGGAAUUGAUUGGUGUCUUUCCCCUGCCGAUGUGGAAGCACAGACCACAAAUGACCAAAAGGGGUCGGCCUCACUAACUGUUGUGCAAUUGUCUAUAUUAAUCAAUAAUAUCCCCGAUGAAAGCCAAGUGGAGAAACUGAACGUUUUCCUUUCUCCUCCUGAUGUCAUCAACUAUCUUGCUCUCACAGAAGCCACAGGACGGAUAUGUGUGUCUCAGUGGGAAGGCCCCCCACGUUUGGGAUGCAUAUUUUGCCACGGAGAUCAUCUUCUGGCAGUGAAUGACCUGAAACCCCAGAGCCUGGAGGAGGUCUCCCUGUUUCUUACCCGGUCCAUCCAGAAGGAGGACUCUUUCAGGAUUCUUUCAUAUCAAGUAGCAUUUGGAGAAGGCACUGAGCUAAGAGACAGAGCACCUGGGUUCAGGACCUCAGAUCGGCAUGAUGUAGCAAAAAGAGCUUGCAUGGAAUCAGACUGGUGCAGGGAUUCCAAAACAGCUCCUUCAACCAAUUUGUGCCUCAGUUUUCUUUUCUGUAAAAUUAUGACUAAUGAUGGUGCUGGUUGUUGGAUAAUUAAAUGAGGUAAUAUGUGUAACGUGCUUACAAAGGUGACUGGCACAUAUUAGGUGCUCAAUAAAGCUACUAGUUACUUUUACUUCUACUACAACUGA
rnacentral:lncRNA from 10 species